CCGCAAGCUCACGUCGGCUACGUGCAGGGCUCCACACACGACCCCCAACAUGGUGUCAGGCCGCUCUGCCUAGGAGCGGAGGAGACUGCUCAAAGACUUCCCCAACAGCUCCCACGCUCAAACGCGCGCGUCAGUACGACCGGCAGAAAACGGUCAACGCCAACGAAGAAUUACUCCUCGAUGUCCCAUGCCGUGCCCAAGUUGCCGAGAAGCAGUGGCCAAACUGAGAAUCUGCAAACUCGUGAAGUCCCCCGGCAGCCGCAACGCUAAAAUAUCCCCAGACGUUCUUGUUACUGCGGAAAUUCAGCUCCUGGACUGUUCCCGAACUAGGUUUAAAACCCUGCCAGAGGAAGGCGAGGAAUAAAAGAGGCCGUGUCACAUUUCCGAGAAAUAACUCCAUUUAAGAGGCAACAGCAUAAUGGCACACAAAACUCCAAGGGGCUAAAGGGAAACAGUGGGCUUUAUUCAGAUCC